rnacentral:lncRNA from 1 species
CUGCUCAACAUAGAUUGAGAUGAUGCAGACAUUGAGAGGGAUCUACUGAGUACAUUCUGCAGACUCUAUACAGGAUGCAGACCCGCAAGAAGCGACAAAGGUUGCUUGCUGAAAAAGACAGCACUAGUGUCUCUAAUAUUCUACUAAUAUUUUCAAAACAUAAUUUUCUCUAACCCUGACCUGUUUGAUGCCAGAAAGAGAGAUGUAAUCCUCAAGUUCCCGUUCACAUAAAAGACCUGUGCAUGUAAAAUUAUUAUAAG